rnacentral:rRNA from 1 species
AGUGAACGCUGGCGGUAGGCCUAACACAUGCAAGUCGAACGGCAGCACAGUAAGAGCUUGCUCUUACGGGUGGCGAGUGGCGGACGGGUGAGGAAUACAUCGGAAUCUACUUUUUCGUGGGGGAUAACGUAGGGAAACUUACGCUAAUACCGCAUACGACCUACGGGUGAAAGCAGGGGAUCUUCGGACCUUGCGCGAUUGAAUGAGCCGAUGUCGGAUUAGCUAGUUGGCGGGGUAAAGGCCCACCAAGGCGACGAUCCGUAGCUGGUCUGAGAGGAUGAUCAGCCACACUGGAACUGAGACACGGUCCAGACUCCUACGGGAGGCAGCAGUGGGGAAUAUUGGACAAUGGGCGCAAGCCUGAUCUAGCCAUACCGCGUGGGUGAAGAAGGCCUUCGGGUUGUAAAGCCCUUUUGUUGGGAAAGAAAAGCAGCAGGUUAAUACCCCGCUGUUCUGACGGUACCCAAAGAACAAGCACCGGCUAACUUCGUG